CUUCGCCACCUCCUUCACCAAUGGGGAGGCCGAGGCCGCGGGAUUUGGUGACCCCGGCCUCUCUGUUGAUGGAUACGAUGGGUAGC
rnacentral:pre_miRNA from 2 species